rnacentral:tRNA from 1 species
GCCAGCAUAGUACAGUGGUUGGAGCAUUAGAUUAGGACUCUGGAGACCAGGGUUCAAAUCCUGGCUUAGCCA